UGGGGAAUCUUGCGCAAUGGGCGAAAGCCUGACGCAGCCAUGCCGCGUGAAUGAUGAAGGUCUUAGGAUUGUAAAAUUCUUUCACCGGGGACGAUAAUGACGGUACCCGGAGAAGAAGCCCCGGCUAACUUCGUGCCAGCAGCCGCGGUAAUACGAAGGGGGCUAGCGUUGUUCGGAAUUACUGGGCGUAAAGCGCACGUAGGCGGAUAUUUAAGUCAGGGGUGAAAUCCCAGAGCUCAACUCUGGAGCUGCCUUUGAUACUGGGUAUCUCGAGUAUGGAAGAGGUGAGUGGAAUUCCGAGUGUAGAGGUGAAAUGCGUAGAUAUGCGGAGGAACACCGAUGGCGAAGGCAAUCCCCUGGGCCUGUACUGACGCUCAUGCACGAAAGCGUGGGGAGCAAACA
rnacentral:rRNA from 1 species